rnacentral:rRNA from 1 species
GCAUAUCAAUAAGCGGAGGAAAAGAAACCAACAGGGAUUGCCCUAGUAACGGCGAGUGAAGCGGCAACAGCUCAAAUUUGAAAUCUGGCGUCUUCGGCGUCCGAGUUGUAAUUUGCAGAGGGCGCUUUGGCAUUGGCAGCGGUCCAAGUUCCUUGGAACAGGACGUCACAGAGGGUGAGAAUCCCGUACGUGGUCGCUAGCCUUUACCGUGUAAAGCCCCUUCGACGAGUCGAGUUGUUUGGGAAUGCAGCUCUAAAUGGGAGGUAAAUUUCUUCUAAAGCUAAAUACUGGCCAGAGACCGAUAGCGCACAAGUAGAGUGAUCGAAAGAUGAAAAGCACUUUGGAAAGAGAGUUAAAAAGCACGUGAAAUUGUUGAAAGGGAAGCGCUUGCAGCCAGACUUGCCUGUAGUUGCUCAUCCGGGUUUUUACCCGGUGCACUCUUCUAUAGGCAGGCCAGCAUCAGUUUGGGCGGUUGGAUAAAGGUCUCUGUCAUGUACCUCCUUUCGGGGAGAACUUAUAGGGGAGACGACAUGCAACCAGCCUGGACUGAGGUCCGCGCAUCUGCUAGGAUGCUGGCGUAAUGGCUGUAAGCGGCCCGUCUUGAAACACGGACCAAGGAGUCUAACAUCUAUGCGAGUGUUUGGGUGUCAAGCCCGAACGCGUAAUGAAAGUGAACGGAGGUGGGAACCUUUCGGGGUGCACCAUCGACCGAUCCUGAUGUCUUCGGAUGGAUUUGAGUAAGAGCAUAGCUGUUGGGACCCGAAAGAUGGUGAACUAUGCUUGAAUAGGGUGAAGCCAGAGGAAACUCUGGUGGAGGCUCGCAGCGGUUCUGACGUGCAAAUCGAUCGUCAAAUUUGGGCAUAGGGGCGAAAGACUAAUCGAACUAUCUAGUAGCUGGUUUCCUGCCGAG